rnacentral:rRNA from 1 species
UCGAGCGAGAAAGUUCCCUUCGGGGAGCGAGUACAGCGGCAAACGGGUGAGUACCACGUGGGUAACUUGCCUUCGGGCGGGGGACAAGCUCGGGAAACCGAGGCUAAUACCGCAUAACGUUAUGCUUUCGCAUGUUAGCAUAACCAAAGGGGGGGAUCUUCGGACCUCCCGCCUGAAGAGAGGCCCGCGCCUGAUUAGCUAGUUGGUAGGGUAAUGGCCUACCAAGGCGAUGAUCAGUAGCCGGUCUGAGAGGAUGGCUGGCCACACUGGGAUUGAGAUACGGCCCAGACUCCUACGGGAGGCAGCAGUCUAGAAGCUUCGGCAAUGGGCGAAAGCCUGACCGAGCGACGCCGCGUGCAGGACGACGGUCUUCGGAUUGUAAACUGCUUUCGACAGGGAUGAACGGUAGGGAAGUUAAUAACUUCUUUAUUUGACAGUACCUGGAGAAGAAGCCCCGGCUAACUCCGUGCCAGCAGACGCGGUAAUACGGAGGGGGCAAGCGUUGUUCGGAUUUAUUGGGCGUA